rnacentral:lncRNA from 1 species
GUUGGGAAAUUAUGACAAUGCAUAGAAAUUAAGAGCCUUCAUUAAGGACUCUUUAUUUCACAUGCCAAAAAUAAAGGGGUGGCAUUUAUUUUUUGCCAUGGGUUCUAGUGGGUAUAGAGGUGUCCUUAUUCACUUAAAAUUAUUUUAAGUUGGAUAAGGAUCCAAUUUAAAUUGACCCAAUCCCAUUAGGUCAAAGACAACUGGUCUAGG